rnacentral:tRNA from 1 species
UAAAGUUUAGCCCCUGACAUCCAAACGCCCCCUAAGGCGCCAGAUUUAGGCUCUGGUCCGAAAGGGCGUGGGUUCAAAUCCCACAGCUGUCA